ACGGGGGGUGCAAGCGUUGUUCGGAAUUAUUGGGAGUAAAGAGCGUGUAGGCGGCUGAAUGAGUCAGAAGUGAAAUCCCUGGGCUUAACCAGGAAGGUGCUUGUGAAACUAUUCAACUUUAGUAUGGAAGAGGAAAGUGGAAUGCCUAGUGUAGAGGUGACAUUCGUAGAUAUCAGGAGGAACACCUGUAGCGAAGGCGACUUUCUAGCGCUAUACUGACGCUGAGACGCGAGAACUUGGGUAACAAACAG
rnacentral:rRNA from 1 species